UACGGAGGGUGCUAGCGUUGUUCGGAAUCACUGGGCGUAAAGGGCGCGCAGGCGGCUCAUUUUGUCAGGCGUGAAAGCCCCGGGCUUAACCUGGGAACUGCGUUUGAUACGGAUGGGCUAGAGUUCGGGAGAGGAGACUGGAAUUCCUGGUGUAGCGGUGAAAUGCGCAGAUAUCAGGAGGAACACCGGUGGCGAAGGCGGGUCUCUGGGCCGAUACUGACGCUGAGGAGCGAAAGCGUGGGGAGCGAACAGG
rnacentral:rRNA from 1 species